GUCUCUCCUGCCUCCACCUGGAGCUUCAGAGGUUGAUGUGAAAGCCUGGCAGCUUCGUAAACUGCUGGAGAGCACCGAGUGUGACAUGAUCAGAGCGGUGCAGAGGAGGAUCAACAGAGAGCUGACGCUGGUAGUUUCAGAGCGAACUCGACAGGACACAGGACUCCCUACAGAGCUGUGGAAGAAAACCCCA